rnacentral:rRNA from 1 species
GAUGAACGCUGGCGGCGUGCCUAAUACAUGCAAGUCGAGCGAACGGACGAGAAGCUUGCUUCUCUGAUGUUAGCGGCGGACGGGCGAGUAACACGUGGAUAACCUACCUAUAAGACUGGGAUAACUUCGGGAAACCGGAGCUAAUACCGGAUAAUAUUUUGAACCGCAUGGUUCAAAAGUGAAAGACGGUCUUGCUGUCACUUAUAGAUGGAUCCGCGCUGCAUUAGCUAGUUGGUAAGGUAACGGCCUACCAAGGCAACGAUGCAUAGCCGACCUGAGAGGGUGAUCGGCCACACUGGAACUGAGACACGGUCCAGACUCCUACGGGAGGCAGCAGUAGGGAAUCUUCCGCAAUGGGCGAAAGCCUGACGGAGCAACGCCGCGUGAGUGAUGAAGGUCUUCGGAUCGUAAAACUCUGUUACUAGGGAAGAACAUAUGUGUAAGUAACUGUGCACAUCUUGACGGUACCUAAUCAGAAAGCCACGGCUAACUACGUG